AGAGUUUGAUCCUGGCUCAGAUUGAACGCUGGCGGCAUGCCUUACACAUGCAAGUCGAACGGCAGCACGGGAGCAAUCCUGGUGGCGAGUGGCGAACGGGUGAGUAAUAUAUCGGAACGUGCCCAAUCGUGGGGGAUAACGCAGCGAAAGCUGUGCUAAUACCGCAUACGAUCUACGGAUGAAAGCGGGGGACUCAGCAAUGGGCCUCGCGCGAAUGGAGCGGCCGAUAUCAGAUUAGCUAGUUGGUGGGGUAAAGGCUCACCAAGGCGACGAUCUGUAGCUGGCCUGAGAGGACGACCAGCCACACUGGAACUGAGACACGGUCCAGACUCCUACGGGAGGCAGCAGUGGGGAAUUUUGGACAAUGGGCGCAAGCCUGAUCCAGCAAUGCCGCGUGCAGGAUGAAGGCCUUCGGGUUGUAAACUGCUUUUGUACGGAACGAAAAGACUCCUUCUAAUAAA
rnacentral:rRNA from 1 species